GAUGAACGCUGGCGGCGUGCCUAAUACAUGCAAGUCGAGCGAACAGAUGAGGAGCUUGCUCCUCUGACGUUAGCGGCGGACGGGUGAGUAACACGUGGAUAACCUACCUAUAAGACUGGGAUAACUUCGGGAAACCGGAGCUAAUACCGGAUAAUAUAUUGAACCGCAUGAUUCAAUAGUGAAAGACGGUUUUGCUGUCACUUAUAGAUGGAUCCGCGCCGCAUUAGCUAGUUGGCAAGGUAACGGCUUACCAAGGCAACGAUGCGUAGCCGACCUGAGAGGGUGAUCGGCCACACUGGAACUGAGACACGGUCCAGACUCCUACGGGAGGCAGCAGUAGGGAAUCUUCCGCAAUGGGCGAAAGCCUGACGGAGCAACGCCGCGUGAGUGAUGAAGGUCUUCGGAUCGUAAAACUCUGUUAUUAGGGAAGAACAAAUGUGUAAGUAACUAUGCACGUCUUGACGGUACCUAAUCAGAAAGCCACGGCUAACUACGUG
rnacentral:rRNA from 1 species